AACGAACGCUGGCGGCAUGCCUAACACAUGCAAGUCGAACGAGACCUUCGGGUCUAGUGGCGCACGGGUGCGUAACGCGUGGGAACCUGCCCUUAGGUUCGGAAUAACUCCCCGAAAGGGGUGCUAAUACCGGAUAAUGUCUUCGGACCAAAGAUUUAUCGCCUUUGGAUGGGCCCGCGUUGGAUUAGCUAGUUGGUAGGGUAAAAGCCUACCAAGGCGACGAUCCAUAGCUGGUCUGAGAGGACGAUCAGCCACACUGGGACUGAGACACGGCCCAGACUCCUACGGGAGGCAGCAGUGGGGAAUAUUGGACAAUGGGCGAAAGCCUGAUCCAGCAAUGCCGCGUGAGUGAUGAAGGCCUUAGGGUUGUAAAGCUCUUUUACCCGGGAUGAUAAUGACAGUACCGGGAGAAUAAGCGCCGGCUAACUCCGUG
rnacentral:rRNA from 1 species